rnacentral:rRNA from 1 species
AGAGUUUGAUCCUGGCUCAGGACGAACGCUGGCGGCGUGCUUAAUACAUGCAAGUCGAACGAGGUCCAGUUGGUGGUAACACCGACGAAGACCUAGUGGCGAACGGGUGCGUAACACGUGAGCAACCUGCCCCGAAAGACUGGGAUAACAGCGGGAAACUGCUGCUAAUACCAGAUGACCCCACGAAAUCGCAUGGUUUUGUGAGGAAAUGGAUUCCGCUUCGGGAGGGGCUCGCGACCUAUCAGCUUGUUGGUGAGGUAACGGCUCACCAAGGCGUCGGCGGGUAGCUGGUCUGAGAGGACGAUCAGCCACACUGGGACUGAGACACGGCCCAGACUCCUACGGGAGGCAGCAGUAGGGAAUCUUGCGCAAUGGGCGAAAGCCUGACGCAGCAACGCCGCGUGGGGGAUGAAUGCCUUCGGGUUGUAAACUCCUUUUAG